UACGUAGGGUGCGAGCGUUAAUCGGAAUUACUGGGCGUAAAGCGUGCGCAGGCGGUUGUGCAAGACAGAUGUGAAAUCCCCGGGCUUAACCUGGGAAUGGACAUUUGUGACUGCACGGCUAGAGUGUGUCAAGGGGUGGGAGAAUUCCACGUGUAGCAGUGAAAUGCGUAGAGAUGUGGAGGAAUACCGAUGGCGAAGGCAGCCCCCCUGGGAUAACACUGACGCUCAUGCACGAAAGCGUGGGGAGCAAACAGG
rnacentral:rRNA from 1 species